rnacentral:ncRNA from 1 species
GCUUGGUCCUGGCCUUACUGUCAGCCAUUACUCAACUUACACAUGCAAGUAUCCGCACUCCCGUGAGAACGCCCUUACCCCUCCCUCAGGACAAGGAGCUGGUAUCAGGCACAGACCAUCUUGCCCAUAACACCUAGCUUUGCCACACCCUCAAGGGUAUUCAGCAGUGAUAGACCUUGUUUAUAAGCGCCAGCUUGACUCAGUCAAAGUAAUAUAGAGCCGGCUAACCCGGUGCCAGCCGCCGCGGCUACACCGUGGGACUCAAGUUGACAGCCAUCGGCGUUAAGCGUGUUUAAAGUGACUACAAGAUUAGAAUUAAACCUUAAUAAAGCCGUGACAACCUUAUUAAAGAGAGACCCGAAAACGAAAGUUAUUCUAACCCAACCACUUGAAUCCACGACAGCUAGGAAACAAACUGGGAUUAGGUACCCCACUAUGCCUAGCCGUAAAAUAUUUAAUCACAACUAAAACCGCCAGGGAAUUACGAGCCCAAGCUUAAAACCCAAAGGACUUGACGGUGUCCCACCCACCUAGAGGAGCCUGUUCUGUAAUCGAUAAUCCCCGAUUAACCUCACCACUUUUUGUUAUUCAGCCUGUAUACCUCCGUCGUAAGCUUACCAUAUGAACGUCUCUUAGUGAGCUUAAAGAUCCUUCAUCAACACGUCAGGUCAAGGUGCAGCCCACAAAGUGGGAAGAAAUGGGCUACAAUCUCUAAUAUAGAACAAACGGAAAACUGCAUGAAACACAGCCAAGAAGGUGGAUUUAGUAGUAAAAAGAAAUCAGAGUGUUCUUUUUAAUCCGGCACUGGGACGCGUACACACCGCCCGUCACCCUCUUCAAAUGCCCCUGAACAGUUAAUAACAAUUUUCCGCACACCAGAAGAGGCAAGUCGUAACACGGUAAGCGUACUGGAAAGUGCGCUUGGACUAACAAAAUGUAGCUUAACAUCAAAGCAUCCCGCUUACACCGAGAACCUAUCUGUGCAACUCAGAUCAUUUUGAGCCUAAAGCCUAGCCCCACACAACCCAAAUGACAACAACAGAUGUCUACAAUAUCAAUAAAACAUUCUACACUAUUAGUAGAGGCGAUUGAAAAAUGUCUUGGAGCUUUAGAAACAGUACCGCAAGGGAAAGGUGAAAUAGCAAUGAAAUAAAUCUUAAGUAAUACAAAGCAGAGAUUUUACCUCGUACCUUUUGCAUCAUGGUUUAGUCAGUCCGCCCAAGCAGAAAGAAAUUUUAGUUUGACCCCCCGAAACUAGACGAGCUACUUCAAAACAGCCUUAAGAGCAAACCCGUCUCUGUUGCAAAAGAGUGGGAAGAUUUUCAAGUAGCGGUGACAUACCUAUCGAGUCUAGAGAUAGCUGGUUAUUCAGGAAAAGGAUAUAAGUCCAACCUUAAGUCUUCUAAUGACUACUAAUAUAACCACAGACUUAAGAGUCAUUCAAAUAAGGUACAGCUUAUUUGAAACAGGAUACAACCUCAACCACAGGGUAAUGUAUACUUUACUGUAACAAAGUGGGCCUAAGAGCAGCCACCUUUUAAAAAGCGUUAAAGCUUCACUACAAUUCCAUCUCAAUAUCAACAACCAAUCAAAACCCUUAACUACUACUGAAUGACUUCAUAAUUAUAUGAAAGACCUCAUGCUAAAACUAGUAACAAGAAGCUAACCCUUCUCCUAAUUGCAAGUGUAAGUCGACAUGGAUCCCCCGUCGACAAUUACCGUCUAUGAAACCACUAUAGUAACUCCACCAAGAAAACUCUAUUACCACAUGUGAGCACAAUCACUUGAAUAAUAACGUUAACCUUACACCAGAGCAACCUAGGAAAGAUUAAAAGAAGAGGAAGGAACUCGGCAAACAACUAACCCCGCCUGUUUACCAAAAACAUCGCCUCCUGUCAAAUAAUAGGAGGUCCCGCCUGCCCAGUGACUAUACGUUCAACGGCCGCGGUACCCUAACCGCGCGAAGGUAGCGCAAUCACUUGUCCUUUAAAUGUGGACUAGUAUGAACGGCAUAACGAGGGUUAUACUGUCUCCCUCUUCCAAUCAGUGAAACUGAUCUCCCCGUGAAGAAGCGGGGAUAACAUUAUAAGACGAGAAGACCCCAUGGAGCUUUAAACCCAAAGUCAACUGCUGCCGCAUAUAUCCCCAAAGCUAUAGCAGAUUUCUGUCACUUUGGUUUUCGGUUGGGGUGACCGCGGAGCAAAAUAAAACCUCCACGAUGAACGGAACUAACUCCUAAUCCAAGAGCUACAACUCAAAGAAUCAAAACUUUGACAUAAAUUGAUCCAAAUAAUUUGAUCAACGAACCAAGUUACCCUGGGGAUAACAGCGCAAUCCAUUUUUAGAGCUCCUA